GGGCACGACACCGGAGAGGGAGCCUGAGAAACGGCUACCACAUCCAAGGAAGGCAGCAGGCGCGCAAAUUACCCAAUCCCGACACGGGGAGGUAGUGACAAUAAAUAACAAUACAGGGUUCUUUUGGAUCUUGUAAUUGGAAUGAGUACAAUUUAAAUCUCUUAACGAGGAACAAUUGGAGGGCAAGUCUGGUGCCAGCAGCCGCGGCAAUUCCAGCUCCAAUAGCGUAUAUUAAAGUUGUUGCAGUUAAAAAGCUCGUAGUUGAAUUUCGGGAUCAAUGUUUCGGUCAUGCCGUUGGUAUGUACUGAUAUUAUUGAUUUCUCAUCUUCUAAAGAACCGUAAUGCCAUUAAUUUGGUGUCACGGGGAAUUAGGACUGUUACCUUGAAAAAAUUAGAGUGUUUAAAGCAGGCUCACGCUUGAAUACAUUAGCAUGGAAUAAUGAAAUAGGACAUCCGAUUCUAUUUCGUUGGUUUCUAGGAUCGAUGUAAUGAUUAAUAGGGAUAGUUGGGGGCAUUAGUAUUCAAUUGUCAGAGGUGAAAUUCUUGGAUUUAUUGAAGACUAACUACUGCGAAAGCAUUUGCCAAGGAUGUUUUCAUUAAUCAAGAACGAAAGUUAGGGGAUCGAAGACGAUCAGAUACCGUCGUAGUCUUAACCAUAAACUAUGCCGACUAGGGAUCGGAUGAUGUUAAUUUUUUAAUGACUCAUUCGGCGCCUUACGGGAA
rnacentral:rRNA from 1 species